GAUCGUGUGGCCUAGUGGUUAGGGCAUGUCCUUUACAGUCGUAAAACUUUAAUGCUGAUCGGAUGGGAUCGCAGGUUCGACCCCUGCCACGAUCA